rnacentral:rRNA from 1 species
GACGAACGCUGGCGGCGUGCCUAAUACAUGCAAGUCGAACGCAGUGGGGACGGGUGAGUAACACGUGGGUAACCUCCCAUCAGAGGGGAUAACACUUGGAAACAGGUGCUAAACCGAUACUGAUGGAUGGACCCGCGGUGGAUUAGCUAGGUGGUGAGGUCACGGCUCACCAAGGCCACGAUGAAUAGCCGACCUGGGAGGGGGAUCGGCACACCUGGAACUGAGACACGGCCCAAAAUCCUACGGGAGGCAGCAGGAGGGAAUCUUCGGCAAUGGGCGGAAGUCUGACCGAGCAACGCCGCGUGAGUGAAGAAGGUUUUCGGAUCGUAAAGCUCUGUUAAUCGGGACGCGGUACCGGAAUAGAAAGCCACGGCUAACUACGUGCCAGCAGCCGCGGUAAUAC